rnacentral:rRNA from 1 species
GAUGAACGCUAGCGGAAGGCUUAAUACAUGCAAGUCGAGCGGUAGAUGGUUUCGGCCAUUGAGAGCGGCAAACGGGUGCGGAACACGUACACAACCUUCCUACAAGUGGGGAAUAGCCCAGAGAAAUUUGGAUUAAUACCCCGUAACAUAACGAUGUGGCAUCACAUUGUUAUUAUAGAUUUUUCGCUUAUUGAUGGGUGUGCGGCUGAUUAGAUAGUUGGCGGGGUAACGGCCCACCAAGUCUACGAUCAGUAGCUGAUGUGAGAGCAUGAUCAGCCACACGGGCACUGAGACACGGGCCAGACUCCUACGGGAGGCAGCAGUAAGGAAUAUUGGUCAAUGGACGGAAGUCUGAACCAGCCAUGCCGCGUGCAGGAAGACGGUCCUCUGGAUUGUAAACUGCUUUUAUUAGGGAAGAAACCCUCGGUUGCGAUCGAGGCUGACGGUACCUAAAGAAUAAGGAUCGGCUAACUCCGUGCCAGCAGCCGCGGUAAUAC